AUUACUCCUACGGGAGGCAGCAGUCGAGAAUCAUUCACAAUGGGGGCAACCCUGAUGGUGCGACGCCGCGUGGAGGAUAAGGUCUUCGGAUUGUAAACUCCUGUCAUGCGAGAGCAAGGUCUGUGCGGGUAACUCCGCUGGGCUUGAUAGUAUCGCAAGAGGAAGAGACGGCUAACUCUGUGCCAGCAGCCGCGGUAAUAAU
rnacentral:rRNA from 1 species